rnacentral:lncRNA from 10 species
AAAAAAAAAAAAAAAGUAAAUCAGAUCAUGUCACCCUCCCAGUCUUGACCCUCCAAACUCCUUACUAUGGCUAAAAUGCCUGCAGGACCUGGUCUUUGGUGCUGACCGACCUUACAUCCUGCCACCCUCUGCUUGGGUCACUUCCUGGACAUGCUUUCCUGACCACUCGGUCUAAGGAAGCCCCUGUCUCUUGCUAACCCCUUGUUCUACUUUAUAUAUGUCUACAGUCAUCCCUCUUUAUCUGCAUAGGAUAUGUUCCAAGACCCCCAGUGGAUGCCUGAAACCAUGGAUAGCACUGAAGCCUAUACUUACUAUGUUUUUCCUAUAUGUACAUACCUAAGAUGAAGUUUAUAAGUUAGGCACAGUCAGAGACUAACAACCAAUAAUAAAAUAG